rnacentral:lncRNA from 1 species
CCUGUAAGCGACGAUGUUGUCUAUUUGAGUCACUUAGCAAUAACGAGUGGUGCAUAGAAAUGUAUUUAGCUAAACGUUAAAGUAAUGGGGAUCGUAUACUUUUAUAGAGAUCGAAACCAAAACACAGAUGCAAAUCCAAGUCGGGUCAAGUGUUAACUUAUCGGCUAUUCGAAUAGUCCAGUGGACAGUCCGAUGAGCAGUGGCGUGUUGUGGUAUAUGCUACGCUUGAGUAAGGCCACAGAAAAAGCAAAGCAAACGGACAAAUCAGCAGUAAGCCGAAGUAGACAAGAGGAUCCCUCGUUAGUUUCUUGCAUAAGAGUUUCCUUGCUAACUCUUGUUCGAAGUCCAUCGAUCAGUCGAGCCAAGUAAGCACCCCUGCUUGGCUCUGUCUCAAAAUUCAGCUUAUUACACCAGCAGCCCGACCAAACUCAGCAUCGUGAAAUCGCGUGGAACAAUUCAGCCGCGAAUGCAGGCACUCGCAUCUAAUGGUCUUGUGGGCGAAACGAGAAGGACCGAAAAAUUUAAAGGGGCUGAGCGCCGGAGAAGGAGGUAGCAAAAGAGAUUUGUAGAAGAAAUCAACGAGCAGAAGUCGUCUGCAAGUUUGCUUUUGCGACUCGACAAAUCGUAAAAUUUAUGGCAACUUUUUUCCAAGUCCCCACGACAAAAUGGGUGGGGGUGCGAGUUGUAGCUGUAAGGUUCAUAGUGGCACAAGGAUAAGCCCGCCCCGUAUAACGCGGAUCGUCUCGAGCAAAGCUUACCAAAGACCUCUCACGUGACUUCGGCUUCUACAAGGCCAUGGCGAAGACAACCGCUGCGGCACGAAAACGGCUUAUGGCAUAUACAAAUCUUCGUGGGUAGAACUCACCAUAGGUGAAUGCCAAUUCACUCGUGCGGGGAAAUUUUGCAAUUCAGUUCAAUAAGUCCACGUCUAUGCGUCACAAACAACAUACUCGGCUUCCUCGGGCAUGGUGCAGGAACAGUGACCUUCGCGUAUAUGAUAUUGAUUUUCUUCCACGUUUAGCCGACGUCGAAAAGCGGUCUCUGGAGAUGUCUAUUGACUAAGACUUCGCAUUACUUCAAAUUAUACCCUUUUCAAAAACGCCACUCGGUAUUUAAAAAAAUGACAUGUAAACAUCUGCCUCUCUGCAAGGGGGCUGAUAUGGGAUACGUGGUACAAUUCUAUACAUUUGUGCGGCGGGCCGCACGCUGAACGUAAGUGGAAUACAAAAAUA